rnacentral:rRNA from 1 species
GAUGAACGCUGGCGGCGUGCCUAAUACAUGCAAGUCGAGCGAACAGGUGAGGAGCUUGCUCCUCUGACGUUAGCGGCGGACGGGUGAGUAACACGUGGAUAACCUACCUAUAAGACUGGGAUAACUUCGGGAAACCGGAGCUAAUACCGGAUAAUAUAUUGAACCGCAUGGUUCAAUAGUGAAAGACGGUUUUGCUGUCACUUAUAGAUGGAUCCGCGCCGCAUUAGCUAGUUGGUAAGGUAACGGCUUACCAAGGCAACGAUGCGUAGCCGACCUGAGAGGGUGAUCGGCCACACUGGAACUGAGACACGGUCCAGACUCCUACGGGAGGCAGCAGUAGGGAAUCUGCCGCAAUGGGCGAAAGCCUGACGGAGCAACGCCGCGUGAGUGAUGAAGGUCUUCGGAUCGUAAAACUCUGUUAUUAGGGAAGAACAAAUGUGUAAGUAACUAUGCACGUCUUGACGGUACCUAAUCAGAAAGCCACGGCUAACUACGUG